CCUACGGGUGGCAGCAGUGAGGAAUAUUGGUCAAUGGACGCAAGUCUGAACCAGCCAUGCCGCGUGCAGGAUGACGGCCCUAUGUGUUGUAAACUGCUUUUGUACGAGGGUAAACCGCGAUACGUGUACCGUGUUGAAAGUAUCGUACGAAUAAGGAUCGGCUAACUCCGUGCCAGCAGCCGCGGUAAUACGGAGGAUCCGAGCGUUAUCCGGAUUUAUUGGGUUUAAAGGGUGCGUAGUCGGUUUGUUAAGUUAGAGGUGAAAGGUCGGGGCUCAACCCCGAAACUGCCAUUGAUACUGUUGGACUAGAGAACAGUUGCGGUAGGCGGAAUGUAUGGUGUAGCGGUGAAAUGCUUAGAGAUCAUAAAGAACACCGAUUGCGAAGGCAGCUUACCAAACUGUGUCUGACGUUGAGGCACGAAAGCGUGGGUAGCAAACAGGAUUAGAUACCCUUGUAGUC
rnacentral:rRNA from 1 species